rnacentral:rRNA from 1 species
UACGUAGGGGGCAAGCGUUGUCCGGAAUCAUUGGGCGUAAAGCGCGUGUAGGCGGCUCGAUAAGUCUGCUGUGAAAGUUCAGGGCUCAACCCUGAAAUGCCGGUGGAAACUGUCGAGCUAGAGUCCGGAAGAGGCGAGUGGAAUUCCCGGUGUAGCGGUGAAAUGCGCAGAGAUCGGGAGGAACACCAAUGGCGAAAGCAGGUACCUGGACCAUUACUGACACUCAACUGCGAAAGCUAGGGGAGCAAACAGG